rnacentral:rRNA from 1 species
UGCAGUCGAGCGAGAAAGUUUCUUCGGAAGCGAGUAAAGCGGCGGACGGGUGAGUAACGCGUAGGAAUCUACCAUUCAGUGGGGGAUAGCUCGGGGAAACCCGAAUUAAUACCGCAUAUACCCUAAGGGGGAAAGAGGGCCUAUCCUUGGAAGCUCUUGCUGUUUGAUGAGCCUGCGUGAGAUUAGUUUGUUGGUGAGGUAAUGGCUCACCAAGACUACGAUCUCUAGCUGGUCUGAGAGGACGAUCAGCCACACUGGGACUGAGACACGGCCCAGACUCCUACGGGAGGCAGCAGUGGGGAAUAUUGGACAAUGGGGGCAACCCUGAUCCAGGCAUGCCGCGUGUGUGAAGAAGGCCUUCGGGUUGUAAAGCACUUUAGGUAAGGAAGAAAAGUUAUUGGUUAAUACCUAAUGACCGUGACAUUACUUACAGAAUAAGGACCGNNNNNNNNNNUGCCAGCAGCCGCGGUAAUACGGAGGGUCCAAGCGUUAAUCGGAAUUACUGGGCGUAAAGCGCGCGUAGGCGGUUUGACAAGUUGGGUGUGAAAUCCCCGGGCUUAACCUGGGAACUGCAUUCAAAACUUUUAAACUGGAGUACGGGAGAGGAGAGUAGAAUUCAUGGUGUAGCGGUGAAAUGCGUAGAUAUCAUGAGGAAUACCAAUGGCGAANGCAACUCUCUGGACCGUAACUGACGCUGAGGUGCGAAAGCGUGGGUAGCAAACAGGAUUAGAUACCCUGGUAGUCCACGCCGUAAACGAUGACAACUAGCCGUUGGACUUUCGGGUUCAGUGGCACAGCUAACGCAUUAAGUUGUCCGCCUGGGGAGUACGGCCGCAAGGCUAAAACUCAAAUGAAUUGACGGGGGNCCGCACA